GGUCACAGAGGGGGAAGGGUCAUAGAAGUUGUACUCCAGCAGCUUCCUGUGGUGUCUCUGCCUCCUCGUUUUGGUUGUACAAGUGGAAGGUCCCCAUUGGUUUGCUGACAGGGUUCUUCCUGCCGUGGUCCUCAGUCCUUGAUCUGAAAGGGACACCAGGUGAAGAUGGCAGUAAGGGGACACCAAGUUCUCUGAGAAGAUGGCAUUGAGGGGACACCAGCUCCUGAGAAGGUGGCAUUGAGGGGACACCAGCUCCUCUGAGAAGAUGGCAUUGAGAGGACACCAGCUCCUCUGAGAAGAUGGCAUUGAGGGGACACCAGCUCCUCUGAGAAGGUGGCAUUGAGGGGACACCAGCUCCUCUGAGAAGAUGGCAUUGAGAGGACACCAGCUCCUCUGAGAAGAUGGCAUUGAGGGGACACCAGCUCCUCUGAGAAGAUGGCAUUGAGGGGACACCAGCUCCUCUGAGAAGAUGGCACUGAGGGGACACCAGCUCCUCUGAGAAGAUGGCAUUGAGGGGACACCAGCUCCUGAGAAGAUGGCAUUGAGAGGACACCAGCUCCUGAGAAGAUGGCAUUGAGGGGACACCAGCUCCUGAGAAGAUGGCAUUGAGGGGACACCAGCUCCUCUGAGAAGAUGGCAUUGAGAGGACACCAGCUCCUCUGAGAAGAUGGCAUUUAACCCCCUGUAGUUUUUAUCCAUGACCUUGAGACUUUUCUAUCCUAAGUUACGACCUUUCCAUAUGAGGUUCUUUAAACCUGGGGUGUUGGCCUGGGCUGGAUUUGACCUGCAGCCCAGGGCAGACAAACCAGGCUGCCACAAAUCUGCUGCUGCUGCAAGCAGAGACAGGGAGAACAAAUGUUUGUUUCUUCAGGUGUCCUUAAGUGCAGGUAUUUAGGGAAGAAGCUUCUUUGUCUCGAUUGUUUUCACUGCAUCUUGGGCUAGAGCUCUUCAGAUGUGUCUUUAGUGUCACUUAGACCUUAGCAGUCUUGGCUCAAGAAGCCUGAAGCACACUCUAAGGGUGCCUGGUGUCCUGCUCUCUCAGUUCAUUCUGCCCACUCCUCUUCAGUUGUUUUACAGUCCAAGUUGGGAGCUGCCAAUCAGACGAGUUGGGAAUUCUGACUCUGCUGGAUUCCAGAGCCAGAUUCCCAGGUGAAGCUCAAUGUGAGCUGUGCAGAGGAAACAGCUCUGCAAUCCCUUUUGGAAGCAGCUGGAGAUGGAUUUGUUACAUCUGCACACAAAGGGCAGUGCUGUUGGUGGAAGUGACUGGAACUCUGCAGCUGCAGUCGGGAGCAUUCUGCAGCUUCCCCCCCCCUUUAUUCCUGCAUUGUCUAGAAAAUAAAACUCCUCUGAGAGGGUUACUUUGA